rnacentral:rRNA from 1 species
AACACUUUUGAUGAUCCUUCGGGUGAUUCAUUUGUGACUGAGCGGCGGACGGGUGAGUAACGCGUGAGUAACCUGCCUCAUACAGGGGAAUAACAGUUAGAAAUGACUGCUAAUGCCGCAUAAGCGCACAGGACCGCAUGGUCUGGUGUGAAAAACUCCGGUGGUAUGAGAUGGACUCGCGUCUGAUUAGCUGGUUGGUGAGGUAACGGCCCACCAAGGCGACGAUCAGUAGCCGGCCUGAGAGGGUGAACGGCCACAUUGGGACUGAGACACGGCCCAAACUCCUACGGGAGGCAGCAGUGGGGAAUAUUGCACAAUGGGGGAAACCCUGAUGCAGCGACGCCGCGUGAGUGAAGAAGUAUUUCGGUAUGUAAAGCUCUAUCAGCAGGGAAGAAAAUGACGGUACCUGACUAAGAAGCCCCGGCUAACUACGUGCCAGCAGCCGCGGUAAUACGUAGGGGGCAAGCGUUAUCCGGAUUUACUGGGUGUAAAGGGAGCGUAGACGGCUGUGCAAGUCUGAAGUGAAAGGCAUGGGCUCAACCUGUGGACUGCUUUGGAAACUGUGCAGCUAGAGUGUCGGAGAGGUAAGUGGAAUUCCUAGUGUAGCGGUGAAAUGCGUAGAUAUUAGGAGGAACACCAGUGGCGAAGGCGGCUUACUGGACG